UAUGCCGGGUUAUGCGAUUUAGUG
rnacentral:siRNA from 1 species